AGCAAAUAGGUUUAUGUGUGUUGAAGAAUGGCGAAGCCUCGAAAAGGGAAGAUUGAAGAACAGAAAGGGGAUAAUUCUGAAGCAGUCGUUCGUCAUCAGAAACUAUGUCUCUCAAUUGACAUGGACAAGCGUCGAAUUUACGGUUACACAGAGCUUGAUGUAAUUGUACCAGAAAAUGGAAUUUUGGGCUUGCACGCGGAUAAUUUGGUGAUAGACAGUGUUACAGUUGAUGGGGAGCCUACAGAAUUUGAAGUUUUCCCGCACUAUUUAGCAUUAGAAAAUGGGGAUAGAUGGUGCGCUGUAUCAUCAGCUACUUCAGCUGCUGAUGCGGCUGGUUCAGUUUACUUGUCACAUCUAGAUAGAGAAUUGCUGUCAAAUUUGCUGAUCAUGUGCAAAAAACCCGCGGAGCAUGAUAUUGAAAGACAGGAAAUGCAUUUAGAGAAUGGACUGAACUCUUCAGCUGAAAACAAUCAGGUUAUGUUGGAUGCAGAAUGUUAAGAAGGUCCGUAUUGAUUAUUGGGUAGAGAAAGCCGAAACUGGAAUCCACUUUGAUGGUGAUGUUUUACAUACUGACAGCCAAAUUCGGCGUGCACGAUGUUGGUUCCCCUGCAUGGAUGACAAUUUACAAUGUUGCUGCUAUGAUUUGGAAUUCACAGUGGCCAGUAAUCUUGUGGCUGUUAGUACUGGAAGCUUACUUUAUCAGAUCUGGACCAAGGAUGUUCCUGCACGUAAAACUUUUGUCUACAGACUAAGUACUCCUGUUAAUGCAAGAUGGAUAUCAUUGGCAGUCGCACCAUUUGAAAUUCUUCCCGACUCCACUAUUACUUAUCUCUCACAUAUUUGUCUACCUGCUGACUUAACAAAGCUGCGGCAUACUGUAGGAUUUUUUCACAGUGCUUUUAGCUUCUAUGAGGACUACCUUUCUGCAUCAUUUCCAUUCGGGUCAUACACACAAGUUUUUAUUCCUCCUGAGAUAGCAAUAUCCUCAGCGAGUAUAGGAGCCGCCUUGAGCAUCUUCAGCUCUCAAUU
rnacentral:misc_RNA from 1 species